CCCAAAGCAACCACUUCAUAGAGUCACCUGACAGAACGCAGCUUGUCCCCUGGCAGUGGAAAGUUCAGGUGGACAGGGUGUUGCAGGGACCAUCCUUUAUGGUCAUUUUGGGAUAACACCUGGUGCAUCCUGAAAAUUAGGCCUCUUUGAAGUGUUCCUGCAUGUGCAACCAGAAGAAAGAGGCACACAAAAUCAUGGGUCAAAUAUUUCAGACAGUUACUAAGAAGCAGCAUGACAGCUACAAGAAAAUAAGCAAAAUGAAGGAGCAUGUGAACUGGGAGUACAUCAAGAUGCCACAAACAAUGCUAGAUCUUCAUGUGAUGCUAGUUUGCUAUUUGCAGUCAUGCAGCAUAAACCACACCAGUCUCUGUGUUCAAAAGAAAGUAAAACUACCAAUGUGAUGAGAGAUAUUGGCUUCCAGGUAAAAAUAACGAGUUCAUGUGGAUGUUGGCAAGCUCUGUGAGACAGAGAUGAUCUGUAGUAUGACUUGAUGAACACUCCUAAAAUGGGACAGUAAGCUUCUAUUCCAAAAUGAUCAGUGUAUAAAGCUAUCUAUCACCUUGUAAUAUGAAAUAUAUUAAAAAGGUUGACUAUGGUUACAAAGACAAAAAGAUGAAAAACAAAAUUCGUCCAACAAUUAUGAUUGUUUAGGUCUUUUGCUUUUCGAUUUUUUACUGCCUUGUUUAAGUUUCCUGCAUGCACACAAAUAUGAAGAAAAGAAGCCUUUCCCAGAUCUCAUAUAAGCUUUUCCUUCUUGCCUAUUUAGAGCCAAGCAUGCCUUAUCCUUCAAUUACUGCUAGCUCCUAGCCAUGUCAUCUACUUCUGAAAUAUUCAUUUGCUGCCAUCUUUGCUGCCAUCAUUUCAGUGAUUGCUGUACACCUUUGCUGGAUUUGAUGCUAGCCUUUAGUCAGUGCUGAGGUCCUUUCUAAUCUUCUAAUCUAAUACAGAAAAUGUUCUAUUGUGUGUCUUUGAAAAAUAUGUAUAUAUAAAGAGUAGCUUCUGUGCUCAGCUUCUUUGCAGUCUUACACCUUCCUCCUGAGUCAGCUACUGUGCUUGUUUGCUCCAUCAUUAUCCUGGCUGAAAAAUGUCAGAGUGAUGGAGUACCUACGAGCAGUUUCCCAGUGAAAAAAUAAAGGAUUUGCUGAGUGAGCA
rnacentral:lncRNA from 1 species